GGAGGGUCCUGGACUCUCAGGAUCUCCCAACUCGGGGUCAGGGGGAAGCGGUAAGUGGAAUGCCCCCCGCCCCCCCACCCCCGCCUCUUUCUCACCUCCUGGUCCCGACCCUAGGCCAGUGCCACCGCCGGGAGCCCCGGGUCUCGGCUUCAGCCCCGGGCUGAACAAGCAGGGAGGGGAGAGGCACUUAGGCCUCGCCUCCCCGCGGCCUUCCUCCCCCAGCCGGGGCGGAGGAGACCCAGGAAGCUGCGCCCGGCUCCCGGGGGUGGAGGGCCUAGGCCUCGGCCCGCCCGAGGCGGAGCCCGGGAGGUCGGGGCGGGGUCCCGGGCCGGUCACCCACCUGGGUUGCCAGUCAUUCCAGCUCCGCGAAUAGUUGGUGCCGUUGGUGCCGCCGCCGCCGCUCAGCCGAGACCCCGGGGCUCUGCGGCUCAUUACCUUCCCCGACACGACAUGGCCAAGCGCCGCCGCCCAGAGAAGCGCGAGUCGCCGCCCGAACCGGCCGCCGCCAACACCCCGCUCCGGCCCGGGGCUGAGGAGGAAGCCGAGAAGGAGGAGAAGGAGGAGGCGGCGGCGGGCGGGGGAAGAGGACGACCGUUCCGGGUUCCGCCUGAGCCCGCAGCACAGGACGAGGAGGCGGGAGCGGCGCGGUGAGAGAGAGGUGGAUGAAGGGGAGGCGACGUCUCUUCCAGGGCCGUGCGCGGCCCACGUCGCCGGGGCCGCGGAGGACGAGGACGACGAGGAGCAGGCGGUGGCGGCAGCUCCUCACGCUCACAAGGCCACUGCUAACCCGCCUCCCGGCUCCGCUGGCCGCGCCGCCGCUAUCGCACGGGAUUCGCAGAGGCAUUUUUGGAACAUCUUUGGAAAAAAUUGCAGGAUCCAAGUAAUCCUGCCAUCAUCAGGCAGGCUGCUGGAAAUUAUAUUGGAAGCUUUUUGGCAAGAGCUAAAUUUAUUCCUCUUAUGAUUCGGGAACAAAGGCAUUCUGCAAUGUUGCUCUCCAUGGACCAUUUUACUCAGCCUGCCAAGCUGUGUUCUACACCUUUGUUUUUAGACACAAGCAGCUUUUGAGCGGAAACCUGAAAGAAGGUUUGCAGUAUCUUCAGAGUCUGAAUUUUGAGCGGAUAGUGAUGAGCCAGCUAAAUCCCCUGAAGAUUUGCCUGCCCUCAGUGGUUAACUUUUUUGCUGCAAUCACAAAUAAGUACCAGCUCGUCUUCUGCUACACCAUCAUCGAGAGGAACAAUCGCCAGAUGCUGCCAGUCAUUAGGAGUACCACUGGAGGAGACUCAGUGCAGACCUGCACAAACCCACUGGACACCUUCGUCCCCUUUGAUCCCUGUGUGCUGAAGAGACCUGCCUUUCGCCUUCUGCCAUGAUUGGGAGGCCUCCCCAGCCACAUGGAACUGUGAGUCCAUUCAACUUCUUUUUCUUUGUAAAUUACCCAGUCUCGGGUAUGGCUUUAUCAGCAGCAUGAAAACAGACAAAUAUACUGUUGUUUC
rnacentral:lncRNA from 1 species